GAUUAACGCUGGCGGCGUGCAUAACACAUGCAAGUCGAACGAUGAAACUUUAAUGAACCCUUCGGGGAGAAUUAAAGCGGAUUAGUGGCGAACGGGUGAGUAACGCGUGAGUAACCUGCCUUACACAAGGGGAUAGCCUUUGGAAACGAAGAAUAAUACCCUAUAAAACCAUAAAAGCACAUGCAAUUAUGGUCAAAGUGAUAGCGGUGUAAGAUGGACUUGCGUCUGAUUAGCUAGUUGGUGAGAUAAAAGCCCACCAAGGCAACGAUCAGUAGCCGGCUUGAGAGAGUGUACGGCCACAUUGGGACUGAGACACGGCCCAGACUCCUACGGGAGGCAGCAGUGGGGAAUUUUGCACAAUGGGGGAAACCCUGAUGCAGCGACGCCGCGUGAUUGAGAAGGCCUUCGGGUUGUAAAAAUCUUUUGUAUAGGAAGAAAAUGACAGUACUAUACGAAUAAGGUCCGGCUAAUUACGUG
rnacentral:rRNA from 1 species